rnacentral:RNase_P_RNA from 1 species
CCAGCAGGCCGGGCAGCCGCUCCUCGCCCCGCGCGGGAGAGGAAAGUCCGGACUCCACCGGGCAGGGUGCCGGUAACGCCUGGGCGGCGCGAGCCGACGGAAAGUGCAACAGAAACAUACCGCCGCCAGCCCGCGGCACCGGGCAGGCGGUAAGGGUGAAAUGGUGCGGUAAGAGCGCACCGGCGUCCCGGCAACGGGGCGGCCGUGCAAACCCCACCCGGAGCAAGGCCGAAUAGGGAGGAGGGUGCCCGGCCCGUCAUCACUCCCGGGUUGGCCGCUAGAGCGCGUCAGCGAUGCCGCGCCCAGAGAGAUGGCUGCCGCUCCGCUCCGCGGGGUACAGAAUCCGGCUUACAGGCCUGCUGGACGC